rnacentral:rRNA from 1 species
UUUAUUGGAGAGUUUGAUCCUGGCUCAGGAUGAACGCUGGCGGCGUGCCUAAUACAUGCAAGUCGAGCGAAUGGAUUGAGAGCUUGCUCUUAUGAAGUUAGCGGCGGACGGGUGAGUAACACGUGGGUAACCUGCCCAUAAGACUGGGAUAACUCCGGGAAACCGGGGCUAAUACC